AUUGAACGCUGGCGGAAUGCUUUACACAUGCAAGUCGAGCGGCAGCGCGGCCUUCGGGCUGGCGGCGAGCGGCGAACGGGUGAGUAAUGCAUCGGAACAUGCCCAGUCGUGGGGGAUAACACUUCGAAAGAAGUGCUAAUACCGCAUACGUCCUGAGGGGGAAAGCGGGGGAUCGCAAGACCUCGCGCGAUUGGAGUGGCCGAUGUCAGAUUAGCUAGUUGGUGGGGUAAAGGCCUACCAAGGCGACGAUCUGUAGCUGGUCUGAGAGGAUGAUCAGCCACACUGGGUCUGAGACACGGCCCAGACUCCUACAGGAGGCAGCAGUGGGGAAUUUUGGACAAUGGGGGCAACCCUGAUCCAGCCAUUCCGCGUGAGUGAAGAAGGCCUUAGGGUUGUAAAGCUCUUUCGGCAGGAACGAAACGGUGGGCUCUAACAUAGUCCGCUAAUGACGGUACCUGAAGAAGAAGCACCGGCUAACUACGUG
rnacentral:rRNA from 1 species